CCUUCUCGUUUAGCGGAUAUCACGAAUCACGACAAGGCGAGCGGAGAGAAAGCCACAGAAAUCGAGAGAGCGCGAAAGAAAGAGCUACGCGAACAAACGAACGAACGAACAAACGAACAAGAGCUUCUCGAAUGCGCGUUUCGUCGGAUCACGAUCAGACCUUAUCAUCGAGCAAGAUCGACGGAAAGAUAAAACGGCGGAUCAUUGUUCUCGUCGUUGUCGUUGUCGUUGUCGUUGCAUUGUCGUUGUCGUUGUCGUUGUCGUUGUCGUUGUCGAAAGAACCGACUCGAUUCUAUUUCAUCCUCCUCUGCGAAUCUCCUCUGAUACCGUACGUUUUCAUCGAGCCGCGGAGGAAUGAUGAAUGAAACAGGAGAAAAAAAAACAAAGCGCAGAUUUAAAAAAAAAUGAGGAAGAAAAAGGUACAUCGGACAAAAGACGCGAAAACACUGUUGCGCUACCAGGAAAAGAGGAUCGUAGGGAUUUCGGUUCCACUUUUUCUUCCUUUUUCCGUUGCGUCAAGAACAGGAAAGAAAACUCCGCGGAGUCCUUCGUGGAAGCGGAUUCCUCGCUCGACGAGAUUUACCUUUAUUAUAGGGAAAUUCCAAAAUAUUGGCCGAUCCGAGUCACCACUCUUCGGUUGAUAGACGAUCCGUUUGUCGAUCGUGUUACAUAACGUGCUGGAAUGGGAUCCCAAAUGAAGCAAUCGCAAAGCAGUGCAAAUGUAGUUGGUGGUAGAAGAUUUCACGCAUGAUAUUUAGCCCUGUAGAUGCAGCUAUUUAUCGUUAAGUUUGAUUAUUGUUUAAUUCACGGGCAUAUAACUCUUAAGUGGACGCAAAGUAACGCUGCAUCGAUAGCAUCGUGGAAUAAAUAGAUCGGACUGUUCUUCGUUGUUUGUUCUUCGUCUGACGGGGCAGUGAGCCUUGAUCGGCCAAUAUUCUGGAAUCUUACUUUAGUCUCCAUAGUCUAUUACUAUUACUUAUUUUUAAACCUAGGUCGCAAAAUCGAUCCUUCCCGCGACGCUUCCUAUUUCACACAUCCCGAAACUUUUCCCGCGAUCUUUUCUAGUCUUCCUUAAAUCCGAUAAUCUAAGAACAACAUCGUAGCCAACAAGCGUCUCGACAACGGAAAUAAUUCCGUUUUAAAGUAUACUCUACAAAAGAAUCGGCAAAAGUCGCUAAAUUUCUUUCGCGUAUUAUACUCUCAUUCGCAAACUCGCUCGGUUGUCCAUUGGAAUAAGCGUCCCCGUUUCUGUUUUGCGACCUCUUAUUACAAUUUUUAUUCCGCGUUCUUUUACCGUCAAUCCUCGUACACGAUCCGGAACGACUGAUUUCGUUUAGCACUUCCGUUAGCUUCUUGUUCACACGAACAGUCUUGUAUUCUUCCGCGCGAUCGCUGUUCAGACGAGUAAGAAGAGCAAAGAAAAGCCAAGUCCGAGUCGAAAGACUUGAAUUAACUUGUCAUUCGUAAAAUGCGCAACGACGCAAAUUCCAUCUAGACGAGUUCGACAGGAAGCCCGGGUGACAAAGAUGUUAACAUAACGAAUAACGAAUAACGAAGUUUUUAUACUCGUAUAUACUAAACAAAUUCCAUUUAUAUUUUGUUUCUAUAUCGAUAUAUCUACGGGUAUCUACGCGUAUACGUUUGGGCUGAUCGAUGAACGUACGCGCGUCGGCGUCGGUUGGAUGUCGAUUCAUCGAAUCGAUGGAGAGGAGAAACGAACGACAAAAAAGUUGAGAAACCAGGAUCGAUCGGGGAUCAGACGACGAAACGAUUCACACGUGCAUAAAUAUAUGUAUAAAUAAGUUCUUCCGUGGGGGGAACAAAGCCUUACGACAAGGUUUCCGGCGACUCUUUCAUUUUCGAUUAAACCGAUUUUUUCUUUUCACUCCAUUCAAGAAUGAAAACGCCGAAAAUCUACACGCUUUAGGCGCGUAAACGCUAUUUAAUUAUUAUCACUGCGAUAAAUGUAUAUGACAAAUAUAUAUGUGUACAUGUACACGUAUAAUAAGAAAUUAUAUUUAAUUAAAGUAAUAGGAUCUUUGAAAAGAAACAAAGCGUGCAAAAGGAGAAACCGCAAGAGACGUAUGGAAGAGAGAAACGCGAGUUGUAGGUUAGCGCGAAAAUCAUUGAGAACGAUCGGUGAAAGGGGAAAGGUCGCGCUGAACUCAUUUUUAUAUUAACUGGGACUCGCGAGACGAGUUCAACGAAAGUUGAUUCUUACUUUUUCGAUCGCGACUUUCCGUUUCCAAACUAUUUCUGAUUAGGUCGCGAUGGAACAGAAUUAAUUUGAUUUCGACUUUCCUGGUGCCGCGCGAAGGACCCCACCAUCGAUCCAGUCUUUCGUACGUUUUCACAGUUUUAUACUUGGAGUUCCUUUGUCUUUAUUGUAUUUUUUUUUUUUUUUUUAUCCUAAUGCAUUCAUUUUACUCUCUAUACCGUAUUCCAUGUAUUCGUAGUAUUUAAUUUCAUAUAUAUAUAUAUAUACAAAUACAUAAUUUUUUCCUGUAGCGUAACAAAAGGAUGAAAGUAGUCAGUGCAAUCGACACCGCGAACCUAGGAGUAACAAAAUACGUAGUUGCUAGUACCGUCGUAUACCUUUUUUUUUCGAUAAAUAAAAGAGAAAGGAAAAAAUAAAACGAACCACGACCGUCCAGGAAAGGCUUUCAUCUACUUUCCCGACCAAGCCGAUAAAAAGCGAGUCUCUUCGUUCGCUCGCUCGACCGUAACAAACGAGAAGACGCGUUUGUUGAGCUAGUCAUUUGCGAUGGGCCAGGGUCUUUUGCGCGCUCUCUCGCUUCUCGUACGCGCCAACGAGAACGACAAGUCGCGACGUUUGUUCCGGAUUGAUAUUAAUUGACACACCGAUUGUUUCAUCGAUUGACUCCGACGAUAGCGUUAAUUAUUUAAACGGAUAGGUAAUAACGAAGUACUCUAACGACAAACUAAGUAUAGGCUACGGUUACGAAAUAUCGAAUAAAUACAAAAAACAAAAUAUUAAACGAGUGAUUAAACGAAUAAGCAAGUAAAUGUUCCUGUACAGCAUUUAAGAAUCAAAGGUGACACACAUAUAUCGACGAUGCAUACAAAAUGAAAUGAAAUGGACAAAAAAAGAAAUGUAUACACCGUUUUUUCGUUUAUCGAUUAAUACCUCGGUUGUCUUUUUGGUAUUAGAGGGGAAAGAUUCGAAUGUUCGAUAUUGUAAAUUACUCGUGUACAUAAGGCUAGACUCGAGAUAGCAUUGGUCGGAAGAUGGAAGUAUCGAGAAUCUAAAUCGUCGUAGAUUCGAAAUUUGUUCGUCGAUCCGCGAGCGUGACACGAAGAACGUUUUUCUAUCGAAAAUUAGCGAAAUUCUAACAAAUAUGUACCACGUGUUUGUUUUAGUCACGAAUACGGGAUUGUGUAGUUUUUCUUUUUCGAUCAAAUUACGCGAUACGCAUUCGUUUUCAUCGUUUCUCGCAGGAAAGGUAGAGGCGCACGACUGCGUUCAGUAGCUAUGAAAAUGAACAAAACCGAAAAAAAAGUAAAACAGUAGACGGAAACGGAAGAAUACGGACGAGUUCCUCGUGCUCGCAACUAGCAUGUAUGUACAUACAUAUACAUAGCGUUUAGAUUUAACAAAAACAAGAGGUACACACGUUAUAUAUAUGGUGUAUGUAUAAAAGUAAGUACAAUAAUUAACGAAUGUCCAUUUAAGCGAUUCGGUAUAGCACCGAUGCGAAAACGACGACGAAACGUUUUCAAUUGCAAUUUUAUUCGUAGAGUGUAUUUUUUCGAACGUGUUUCCUUUGUACCGUAGAAUCUGAAGAUUUGUUCCGUUUACAUAUACGUAUAAAAUUGUACGAAAUACCGCGAGUGUGUGAUAUAUUCGAAUUCGUCCCAAUUGCUGCCAGUCUUUUAGCAAAGCUGUUUAUUUCGUUUUCGCGAGAUCGGAGUAACCGAGAACGAUGGUUUGCCAGCGUCUCGAAACACGAUGAAAGAGUAGAAGACAGAAAAGAGUUCUUAGAACGUCUCGUUUACGAAUAAAUUUCCAAUUAGAGAGAAAGCGAAUCGCGUUCGGUCGCGCAAUAGAAUUUCGAACGAACGAGAUCGAGUAGCGAGGCGAGACUCGUCUUUCCCUUCGAUACCAAACGUUCUAGUUAAACACACACCAAGUAUUAUAACUAAAUAAUGUUAAUUACGCCAGUACGGAAGGAGAGAAAGAGUAAAGAGGAGAGGAAAACCGUGACAGCCACGGACGCUGCUCCAUUGUCGCGAACAUUAAAACGAAAGCCGUUCUAAAAAAAAUGUGAAAAAGAUAUGCGUAUACGUAUAUAUGUGUGUAUAAAUACGUAUACGCAUAUGGAUGAGAUAAACAUGAACAAAAAAAAUAAUAAUAAUAUAUGAAACGAAAGAGAUAACGAAACACGAUGAAAAUAAUGCGACGAAUCCCACCGGAGUUUAAGCUUCCCCAACUUGAGUCAAGGGUUUUAGCUGCUGCAGCAAGCAAUCACAAAGCGGUAAAAAUUAUUUGUAAAUCAAGCAAAGAGUUCGGUCGCUUGAACGCCAUGUCGUCGUGCCUAGAGACAUCGUCGAAGAGAGGUGAAAAUCGAAACCUGUCUCGUUCGGCGACAAUGGGUUCAUACGACGAUUUAUAUAUGCUAUCGCUUCAAAGAGAAAAAGAAUAAUGCUGCUUCGCGUGGCCAACGAACGUCUCUGGUUCGCACGAAGAAUGUAGAUUUCGAGUGGACGGGUUGGCGUUAGCUGUGCUUCGUCUUUCGUUUGCCUUUGCAUUUCGAUUCGUCUUUUUGCUACAGAUGACAGAUCGAAAGAUCAUACGGUAGUUAACGUGAAUUCUAUCCUAACCAAGUUCAAGCUAUGCAUGGACAUUUACAACAGCUUUAUCUUAUUAGAUACAGUAGAUAGAGCAGCAGGUAUACCUGUUUCGAAAUUAGUCGCAAAAAUUGCUAGUAAAACUUGGCUACGAUGCCUGAUUAGGAUCCACUCGUUGCAAGGGGAACGCGAAUUUUCGAUACAACAUCGCAAGAAGCUGCGACUACAAUCGACGUUUAGUUAAAGAUACGGCAGUACGCGUAAUCGGUUGAAAAAUUCUUACAAAAAUGUCUAGUACGAUCUUACCAGUGAUACCAGUUGGAGUCUUCCAUUCGCAACUCUCGCUUGAAAACGUUAAAACGUACUUUGGUCCGACAACUUUGGACGUAGUCGCAGCAGACUACUUGGCUAGAUUUCCAAAGUGGAGAAUGUUUACGAGUAGAUCCUUUUCUCGUUCUCGUGCGUUCCAUCGUUCGGUUGGCCGAAAAUAUAUGCUCGCGUAUACCUACCUAGCUUCUUGCGCGCAAUGCAUUUUUGACUCUGCCGAGAGAACGAACGGAAAGGGUUGAGAGUGAGCGAACCCUCGCAGACGGAGAAAGGAAAGCGUUCAGGAUAGAAAGAACAAAAAGGACGAAAUUUCGAGAGGUCUCGUGCUCGCUCUGCAGAGAGACGGUUUCGAGUUUCGAGUUUCGCAAGCGCGGCCAUCGGCUAUUCGAACGAAAGCUAGGCCGGAUGUUUGGAUAUUUUGGUACGUUUAAUCGGAUUGUCUACCGUCGACUGAACCGAGCCCAUCCGAAAUUGCCGACACGAACGUCCGAUCGGAUUUGUUCGGAUAACCCGUCCACGGCUCGCGAUAGAACGCGCAUUGGUCAUCGUUGCCAUUACCCCGCGCCUGGUAAGCGUCGACCGAAUUGAAAGGACUCGCGGGGGAGUAAAGGGGCGCGAGAUACAAGAGCGGGACGACGAGACAGAAAAACGCGAUACGAAAACGGGAGCACGGAUAUACCGAAAAUAAUACACUAACAGACCGUCCACACCAGGGACAAGCUUGUCCGCUAACCGACGAAAAAACGAAUAAAUCCGCAACGGAGCGCAGCGACCGAUGGGAAUUUUGUUCAAGCUAAACGCGUAUAACUGUAAACUGUAAGGCGCAAGACGGUACGACGGGAUUCAGUUCUAGUUCAACAUGUAACCAGGCUAACCGUUGGCGGCGCGCACAUUCGAAUGACUUUCGGCUGGUCGCAGUCGAAGAGUGUCGCGAAGACGUCAACGUGUCUAAAUAACGUCGUGAACGAACCUCGAGCGUACAUGCUUCUCGAUACACUAGAAUAUACAUAACUCGUAAGUGGACCGUGUACGGUGAUAUCGUAACUAAAAGUCGGACAAGCCUCCUUGGUUGCAUACAACGCUAAGCUCGAUCGCGCUAGACGAAUAGUCGAUAGAGGUAGACGCGAGAACGAACGGGUUUAAGAUGAGUAACCGUGUAUCUCUGCAGAGCGAGAUUCUCCCGUUGCCCGAGGUGUGUUUUCCUCGUUGGAUGGAUAAAGAUCGACGGGAAAGGAAUAUCGACGAGAGAAGUAUGAGAACUUGAACGCGGUUCACGGAACACGAUUUAAAAUAACUGGAGUUUUCGUUAUACGUACACAUGUAUACACGUAGACCCAUACGCGCCCACGUAUGCACGGGGCACGUACUGUGCUUACACAGAUACACACACAGAUACACACACACACACACAGAGAGAGAGAGAGAGACGGACACACGAUAUGUAUUAUUCAUAUAUAAAAAUGAUAUAUAGAUGUAUUGUUCGGGCAGACGCUCCCUCAACGCUACGCGCGAUUCUUCAAGAGAGUUCCUUUUACUCAGAAUACUACUGUAUACACAGACAUUUUCCGGCAAAGAAACAGACGAUUUUCUCUCCAGACGACAUACGCAAAACACGACGAGACGAAAAGAAAAAUGAUUGUCGCGGUAGUUGUAGAAACGGAUGGCACGACGAUCCGUGGCGCGGAUCGUCGACGAAACGCGAACAGACCCGUUAUGCGUGUAUCUUUACAAUUUCAAAACCCGUAACCCGGAAAUCGUCUAGGUAAACGUUCCGAACGACUUUCUCUAGGUCAAGCAAAAGAAAAAAGAAUAAAACUAAAAGGCGUCCGACGUCGGUAGCUCGACGCCGGCCAUCGAAUAUUAACAUUUUUCGAACUAAGCUAACGAAGACUAAUAGUAUUUUUCGAGUUUAGAUUAUUAAACAUAGCGAUACAUGGUAGCGUACGUAACACGAUCUUAGCGGAUAGUAGACGAGAGAACUUUUACCAGUCGACUAAUCGUGCAUGUUAGUGUAUCCAGCCUACGCCUAGUAAGCUUCUCGUAGCGAUAGAGAAUUUUUAAUACCCCCUUUCUCCUUAUAAACACGGACGAGCAGAAACAGAAUUUGCCGUCUACGCGUAUACGGUUACCGAAGACACCACUCUCCGUUUCCACUAACCGAGGAUCCUGAACGGUCCAACACUCGUUCGGAUCUGCCUGUUUCGUUUACGUUCUCCCUGGGUUCCCGCUUCCUCUUGUACCCGCCACCCUCACAUCCCUCCCCGGACCCCUCGGCUUCUCCUUCUUGUCCCUUUACGAAAACCGCGACGAGAAAAAGAGUUAAACGCUUAGUAUUAAUAUAACUAUUAUUACAGAAAUGUGCUAUAUUCGUCUUCAGCUAUUUUGGUCGGUUAGAGCCAGGAGCAACACACGCCGUGUGCCUCUGCCGCUGGUCUAUCGACUCUUCGCCUCGCGUACGCUGUUGAUUGUAAGAUCCGACAAACGACAGAAUCUAUUCGAAAUACUUGUCACCGGUUGCUCCGCUGAAGAGAACUCUUUCAUUCGUACCCCGAUCGAGGAGCUCGAGAAAGCUCCGAACGUGACAGCAUUCGAUAAAAGUGAAUCGGAGCUGUCGUUUCUGAAUCGUUUCUAGAAAGGCGCUAGUAUUUUUCUAGUCUUAGUCUGAAAACGUCCGUCCUCGUUACGGAAAAACGUCUAUGUCUUGGCGACGGCGAAGCGUCUCAUCUGUCAAAGUAGGCGAAGACAACUAUGGUAAACAAUCGAGCAAACGAAAGAAAAAAAAACUAAAUAAAAAUGGUUUAGACGACGUAGAAUAUUUACCGGAAAUGGAAAAAUAAACAGAGAAAAAUCUCAUCGAACCGAUCGCUUCGCUCGAAUCCUUGCGAGCGCUUUAAGGCGAGAAUAAAUCCGAUUCCAUUUUUGCUCACCGGCGUGAACUCUUUCACGCCACGGACACCUGCACGCCUGCCUCGAAAACAAUUCAAACGCCAUCGUGUCGUGCUUAACCCUUUCGCUGUCUAUUUACAAGAGAUCCGAACAGUUUAGCGCGUUCACUCGCCCUUGACCCAUCGACGAAUCGCAACGGAACCUUGUCUCUACCCAGGAUACGAAAGUGAAUGCGUUAAAUUCUUAAAUCACGGUUACCGUUCGAUGACAUGUGUGUAUACGUCGUCCAUGGUAAAAGGGUUAACCGCGGCACAGAAGAAAGAUCGCAGAGGAGACGUCUAUCGAGAAAUUUCGAAAUUUCGAAGAAAGAAACGAAAACAUGGAGGAGACUCCCUCCUCACCUGUCCCUCUCCUUCAACUCCCACCCCGUUACAUAUUACCGAGACCCGAGACCCGAGACCCGAGACCCGUAACCCUUCCCCGGAUCUUCGUUACGAUUGAUACACUCGUUUGACCGAUCAACGCGGCAAACUUCUAACCCCCUCAGCUUGUUCUGGUCUUAGCGACACUUUAGAAAAGCGAACAAUUACCGUGAACUGAUUCAUCGACGGAGAGAUGUUUGAUCCCACGUGAACUACAAGACGUUAAAAUUCUUAUACACUAUUUAGGAAGUAGAAGCGUUUCCCGUUAUAUAACGACGGAUACAGUUAAACCUAUAAUCCUUAUUCCUUAAUCCAAUACUCGACGCUACGAACAAUUUGAAGCGCGCUCGUGGUUUCACCUCCCGCUUAUAAGUGAGCUGACGCGCCUCUCGCGAAACGCUUUUAUAGACCCUUUGUAAUCCACAAACACGUACACAAACAUGUCCACACACACGCGCGCGCGCGCGCGAGCGCCCACGCACAUCCACAUAAAGUUUGGCUACGUGUUCUUGGUCAUUCAUACGUAUACAAGCGCGCACGCCUGAGCUAUGCUAAGUGUAGAAUGUUACUACUAUACGUAUAUUUAUCGCCACGUGUCUAUACUCUUAGAGAUGUAGUCGAUCCCGCUUAGGAUAUUAACGACGUGCCACUUUUGCUGAACGCUAGUUUCGAUGCCCUCGUUUUGUAUCAGCGUCCCGAUUGUUCCUGCUGCGUCUAACAUGCUCUACGGCGUUGCCUUUGCGCAAAUAGCAAUUGGUGUAAUUAAUAAUUAAUCACGCGAUUGCAAAAUAAUAGCGAUAGUUAUACAGUAUUUAAUUGUUCUAAAUUGUUCCAACACGGUUUAAUCACAUACGAUACGGUACAGCAGCGAGAGUAAUCGGAGCGCUCGCGACUAGCGCAACGCGAGGGCACCUUCGUUUCAACACCUUUUUCUCUGGGUCACGCAUAUAUAUAUAUAUUGCCCACUAAAUGUUAGAGUAAUCCUUUUUCCGCGGUAUUAGCAACCGAUGCCUGUAGCCUCGUGAACAAACAAUUUCAGUGUAAUCAACUUACGUCGUUGUAUAGUUUGAAGAUGGCUUGAUCUCCUCUGUCCUAACCUCGCCCCUGUCAUGUCCUUCCGAUAUAAUAACACGGUCGCCCCCCUUGACUACAAGUUUUCUAAAGAGAAAAUUAUCGAACGAAAACCUAGAAAACCGAGAGCAAGAAGAAGCAAUCGAUAGAAGGAACGCGUAAAUUCGGUAUCGAUCCAUUGGGCAUCCGCGAGAUUUUAUUAAAACGACGCGAAAGAAAAACCGAAAACAGAAAAAAAAGAAGGUAAACGAAAAUUACGUAAUACUUUAAGGUCAUGGAUUUAUAAAGGUAUUUACAGUUUUACGAGUAAAGAGAAUCUUCUGUGGCAGCAUGAUAAACGGAAAAUUACUAGUUCGACAAACUUAAACUAACCGUACGUUGGGGACAAGACCGAAGGGUUCCCGGUGAGCGCUUCUGCAAGCAAGACUGUCCAUCCGUGAACCCUCCGGAAGCUUGCGUCUUCCGACAGUGAUGUAACUAUUAACAUGUAACCCCUUAACGUUAUAUUUUUCCGGUGGUAGCCCAAACGUUCACGGCGAACGCUGUCUCGAAACAAACGGAUCGGAUCUCGGAGUCCUCGGUCCCCGAAGACGACCAACUCGCCGAUACCAAGCAACGUUGACGCGUUCGACGUGAAUCCGAGGGCUGCACUAGCCACCGGCAGUUUGUGAUAUAUUUAGUAAAACAAAUUAAAAAAUAAAAAAAAUGGUUGUUAUUCAAAUUAAACGAAGAGAAAGAGAAGAAGAAGCGCCUAGCGGUUUUACAUCCACACAACCACACCAAAUGGAUUUGGUAAACGUGACGCGCGUACUGCUGAGAGAAGCGACACGUUUCACGCUGAAGAUAAAUCUUAUAGGGCAUUCCGUGGUGAAGAACGGACAGAGCGGUCGUUCGUUGAUGUUAUCGUCGUCGGAGAUGGGACAGUCGGAUUCUAUUAGCUCUGAACAAUUGCAAAUCGCAAAAUUCCAAGACAACCGAAAGGACAAACAUUCCGAGUAACGAUUAAACGGUCCGAAACUUUUUACAUUAAUUGUCAAUACGUUCCUAUUCGCCGUGUAUAGCGUGAAUAAAGUUUUGCCCAUCUCUGAUCGUCGCGAGGAAGAGCCAAAGACGAUCGGCGACCGUUUUGGGCUGUUUGGCGCGAUUUGUUGUCACGCGAAACGAAUUUUAUAACGAUGGAAAGCGCCGUUUAUAUCGAGACCUACUACCCCGCGAGAAUAGAAUAAUUUUAUACAACCGUUCAAAGAAUCGGGAAAACGCAAACUUCGAGCCGUCGCUUUGUACCGUGUAAGUCUUCUCUCAUCAUAGGUUUACCAGCGCUCUCAGCAGCAUCGAAUCGUCGAUUAAUAAACUAAUUGUAAAUUUUAGGUACUACCGCGCGUAAAAUAGGGAAAAAACAAACAUACAAACAAACAAACAAACGAACAAGCAAACAAACAAACAAACAAACAAACAAAAUGAACAAAACGAGAGUGAAAACAAGCGAUAAUGUAAGAGGCGUACACUAUCGCGGAGGUGAGGAGGAAAAUAAGAAUAAUAACGAAAAAAAAAGAAAAAAAAUGAUAAUACACAUAACAACACACACUAUAUAUAUAUUGUAAUAUUAUUUUUUGAACAUAGUAAUGUAAUGUAGAAUAUAAUAUAUGUAUUAUAUAUAUUAUAUAUAUAUAUAUUAUAUAUUAUAUAUAUAUAAUAUGAUACUGUAACGGUCAUUUCGUAUAGCGUGAAGGCUGGACGAAGUGUUUACGGAGGUUAAGAGAAUUAAUUAAGGUGGGCCAGAAGCGUCGGUGAGCCGAGUGGCGCGGGGUCCGCAAGCACAUAUUUUUACCAAGAUUUUUUCGAAUAUCGACUCACCCUCCACCCUCGAUUCCUCAUCUAACGAGAACUUGACAGAAAGAAAUGUACCCACGCGCCACCAUCGCUUCCGCGCCGAUUUUAUUAGCGUGCGGCCGCGGGAUCUGUCAUCGAACGAAUCGCAUUCGAUUGCUGUCGAGUUUUCGCAAAAGAAGAAAUCAUUCUUGUUCCGAACAAACGAUCUCGACCGUUCGACGACAGAGCCGCGGUAAAUUUUUUAAUUCGUCGAAUCGAAGAUUGAAACGAGGAAUAGAAAGCGUGCAACGAAUCGAUUUAUCGACGUUAACAAACAAAAUCAAGUUUCCCGUUCUACACGGAAUCUUUGCUCUUCGUGUUUCAAUCUUCGCGCUCGACGCUCGUGCGUAUCCUAAUUUUUCAAUGUCCACGAAAAGGACGAUGAGUCGAGCAGAAGCGUGUACAGUGGGGGUGGUUGGUCACUAUAAUACGAAUAAAAUGAGAAAAGGAAAGUCAGUCCCCUAUCCCGAUACCCCUGCCCCCUCGUCCAUCCCCUGGUUAACUCCCGAAUCCUUUUUGUCCUAUUUUUAUGCCCUACACAUUUAGAAGCUCCUCGAAUGUCGGCCCGAUAUUGGAAAUAAGAGUAAAAUGAAAAGAAAGAGUAAGAGAAACAGAAAAAGAGAGAGAGAGAGAGUGUGUGUGUGUGAUUAUUAAAUAAGGGUGCGUUUUUUCUAACUGUCAACAAAAUCGAGUUCAAAUUCGACGGCAACUUUUGUAAUACGCGAAGUUUCUAAUUCUAAGUUACGUUCAUACCGAAAACAUUCUCACUCGAAUACGUAUAGGUAUAUACGUGGUAUAUAUGUGUGUGUGUGUGUGGGUAUUUAUAUAUAUAUAUAUAUAUAUGUACACCUGUAUGUAUGUGUAUUCACACAUACAGAUAUGUAUAUCAUCAACCAUCGAACUCGCAAAUCGAAAUUCAUUACCUCGAACAGUUGACGAUAAAGGUAGACCUUUCUUUGUGUUUUUGUUGUUUUGUUUUUUUUUUUUUUUUCUAUGAAGUUGUUACAUUCGACGUUUUGUUAUACGAAUAUGCUGGCAUGUUGAAUUAUGGAUGGAGAACCAAGAACCUCGAACCUGGAUAAUUAUCUAUUUUUUGUGAGGCACAAUCUGCUCGUAACGGAUUAACAAAGUUGACUUGUUUCUCGACAAUGUUUUCACCUUGGUCGAA